AUAAGGCCCUGGGGGAGUUCAUUGGAACUGAGAUCCGACUGCCGUGGACAUGUCAUGUUCGCACAGCGGGAACCCUUUGUACCUGAACCGGGUAAUUCCGGCGUAGGAAAGCGGCUUACAGGAUAU
rnacentral:ncRNA from 2 species